GACGAACGCUGGCGGCGUGCCUAAUACAUGCAAGUCGAACGCACAGUUUAUACCGUAGCUUGCUACACCAUAGACUGUGAGUUGCGAACGGGUGAGUAACGCGUAGGUAACCUGCCUGGUAGCGGGGGAUAACUAUUGGAAACGAUAGCUAAUACCGCAUAAUAUUGAUUAUUGCAUGAUAAUUGAUUGAAAGAUGCUAUUGCAUCACUACCAGAUGGACCUGCGUUGUAUUAGCUAGUAGGUGAGGUAACGGCUCACCUAGGCGACGAUACAUAGCCGACCUGAGAGGGUGAUCGGCCACACUGGGACUGAGACACGGCCCAGACUCCUACGGGAGGCAGCAGUAGGGAAUCUUCGGCAAUGGAAGAAAGUCUGACCGAGCAACGCCGCGGGAGUGAAGAAGGGUUUCGGAUCGUAAAGCUCUGUUGUAAGAGAAGAACGGGUGUGAGAGUGGAAAGUUCACACCGUGACGGUAUCUUACCAGAAAGGGACGGCUAACUACGUG
rnacentral:rRNA from 1 species